GGCUGAUACGGGGUCCCUGUUCGGGCACCAAAUAUAACACCUCCCGUGUUAUGUGAGUUCGGACCCCGCAUGCCCCCAACAUCCGGUUUUCUGACAGUCCGAAAAUUAAGCUGAAAUUCAUGUGUGUCUAACCACUGUAAUACCAAAUGUACAGCCUCCAACAAAGCUUCCAUUAUUCAAACUUGAAUUUAUUAAUAAAACAAACAGUAGUACAAAAAAGUAAAUUAUCAAAACGUAAAACUGCGUACAACCUUUUUCUCUCUCUCUUACUUAGCUUCAGGUUGCUGCUAAAAUCCAACACCACAAUUAAAAAUUCACAACACAUCAAAACACUUUCGGUUAAGGCGUAGCUACCUAAGCGAUCACCAUCGCUCAUUCCAGUCACCAGAGAGAGAGAAGAGAGCUUACGCCGUCCCACGGUGCCUCUCUUAAACAAUUCUCAUUUACAUAAAUUCGCAGCA
rnacentral:lncRNA from 1 species